AAGGGAAUUUUCUGGAAUGUUCCAUAUCUUGAAUGUUCUAUAUCUUCGGCGGUAGUUAUACGGUUGUACACUUUUGUCAAAUGAAUUGUACACUUGAAAUCUGACUUCUAUGUAAUUUUUACCUAAAUUUUAAAAAUGAUAAAAUGUUAAACUUAAUUGACUAUUCAUAUACUUUUAUAUACUAUUCUCAAACUUUUAAAUGCUCCCCCCACUAAAAU
rnacentral:lncRNA from 1 species